ensembl:lncRNA
UAAGUCUGCACUUUUCCAUAUAUACUGAGCCAAAGGCUCGAUAUACAGAGCAAAAAGGGCUGGACUCAGGCAGCAACCCUGCCUGGUUCCUCUGAAGAGCUCAAAACUGUCUGUCAGGUCCCCAUUUAUUUUCACUCUAGCCAAUGGCCUGUGGUACAAGGAUUGUAUACACUCGAUGAAGAUACUGUUAAAGCCCAUUCUUUUCAAAACAGCAAAAAGAAAUAUCCAAGAGACUCUAUCAAAGGCCUUUUCAGCAUCUAAGCUCACUAAGGCUGUUGGGAUUUUCUCUUUAUUAACUUCGUUAAUUAUAUGCAAUGUGCGUCGUAUAUUAUCUUGUGUCUGUCACCCCUUAAUGAACCCUGUCUGGUCUUCAUCCACCAUCUGGGAGAAACAGCUCUAAGCGUCUUGUGAUUAUGGAUGUAAAUAAUUUAUAAUCCACAUUUAAGAUAGAGAUUGGGCGAUAAGAGUCACAGUUUUCCUUGUUUUUACCUUCUUUUGGUAAAAAAUUAUUGUUUUAAAUGUAAUUCUACUUAUCAUUUUAUACUAUUUUAUUUUUUUGCUAUUUGUGCUAAUUAGAUUAUUUUAAAUGUCAUUUUAAUUAUCAUCUUAUUUUAUUUACUUUUUUAUCUUUAUUUUAUUUUUAUUUUUUAACUUAUUCAAUGUGUCAUUUCUGGCAUGCCAAGUGUACAGCACUCUGUUCAGCUGGGAGUUGUUCUGAAAGUGCUACAUAAAUAAAAUGCUUGCUUGCUAAAAACUGGCGCACACAUUUAUUUAAUAAAUAACAUUGUCACAUGCAAAGCUAGCCCAGCCAACACGCACAUGUGGGGCCCGAAUGGGGAGUAGCAGAGCUCAUAUUUAUGGUCUACUUGGGUUACCCACCUGGGACGCAGCCAUUUUUGUCCUCAGUCUGAGGACCCCAAAAGAACCCCCCCCCCCCCCCCCCCCCCCAAGAAAAACCCCAAGUUUUUCACACCAUCAGUAUAGAAUUUCAUGAGCUUCCUCAUGAGUUCAACUUGGUUUAGACUACAAACACCAAAUCUUGCAUUUCAGUUUUAUCAGAGGUACCCAUUCUCCAAGAUUUAAAACAGCCUAAAGUGAUACAAGUAAGCUAGAAUUGAACUCACCUGUACAACAAAGUCAGUUUAUCUUUGUAUUGAGACUGAUUCAUACACAAUUUUGAAACGCUGUGCUUCUUUG